ACCUCUACCUCUACCUCCUCUACCUCUACCUCUACCACUACCUCUACCUCCUCUACCUCUACCACUACCUCCUCUACCUCCUCUACCUCUACCUCUACCACUACCUCUACCUCUACCUCUACCUCUACCUCCUCUACCUCUACCUCUUCCUCUACCUCCUCUUAUGCCCUUACAUGUAACAAGCAGAAUCAUAUUUUACAAUACAGUUCAACAACAUGUUUGGAAGUAUUAGGAAAUGAAUGAGUAUAAAUAAAAGUUCUAAGUAAUUAUUAUAUAUUUUGAAGUAUCUUAUAUGAUUUGUGGCAAUGAGAGCGUUAUGAAAAAAACUGGACAUGAAGCUCAGUUAUAAAGUACACAGUACAGGGAGUUUUGGUACAACAAACCAAAAAAUCCCAAAUGUAAUCCAAAUUCAACAUGUAUCAAGGAAAAGUAGCUUCAGGAUUUGGAGAACUACUGAACAUAUUCAACAUGUGGCGCAACGAUCGAAACCGCUAGGCUACCUGCCGCCCACGAUGUCUGAACGUUCAAUAUUACCUGGCACCACAGGCGAGUCAAAUACACAAUACUUUGUAGUAAAAAAAAAACUGUAAUAAAUACAAAACAGAUGAAAAAAAACCACUAAUAAAGACGUAUAAAUAUGGACUGAAAGCCUCAAUUGUAUCGAAAUACCGUAAAUAUACUUUGGCAAAAGCAGUAACAGAAAAAUCACAGUUUCUGGACCCAGAAGCGCAACAUCAGAGACUUCCGGGAACGCUUGUGAAACAGACCAAGAGGACCAGGCCAGGGUUUGGGGGUUUGACAAGUCAAUGAGAGAAGUGAAGAAUUCUUCCUUAGUUGUUAAUUUUCUCCUAAUCUAAAGGCACAACCUAGAUUGGAGCCAAUGUCUUAAAUACUCUCUAUAUACAAAAGUAUGUGGACACCCCUUCAAAUGAGUGGAUUUGGCUAUUUCAGCCACACCUGUUGCUGACAGGUGUAUACAAUCGAGCACACAGACAUGCAAUCUCCAUAGACAAACAUUGGCAGUAGAAUGGCCUUACUGAAGCGCUUAGUGACCUUCAACGUGGCACCAUCAUAGGAUGCCACCUUUCCAACAAGUCAGUUCAUCAAAUUUCUGCCCUGCUAGAGCUGCCCUGCUAGAGCUGCCCUGCUAGAGCUCCCUGCCCGGUCAACUGUAAGUACUGUUAUUAUGAAGUGGAAACGUCUAGGAGUAACAAUGGCUCAGGCGCGAAGUAGAAGCCCAAGGUCACAGAACAGGACUGGGAGUGGAGACAUGUUGGCUGGAGGGGGUUGGGGGGGAUGGGAGGUUGGGAGUGGAGACAGGUUGGAUGGAGGGGGUUGGGACCUGAUGACGUGUUCUGCACAUGGGCAGUUCAGGACGAGACAACCGUUAGACCUGAUGAUGUGUUCUGCACAUGGGCAGUUCAGGAUGACCGUUAGACCUGAUGACGUGUUCUGCACAUGGGUAGUUCAGAGCGACCGUUAGACCUGAUGACGUGUUCUGCACAUGGGCAGUUCAGGACGACCGUUAGACCUGAUGACGUGUUCUGCACAUGGGCAGUUCAGAGCGACCGUUAGACCUGAUGACGUGUUCU
rnacentral:lncRNA from 1 species